rnacentral:tRNA from 1 species
UGUCGCCUGGUUUAACGGUAGAACACCUGUGUUACAUACAGGUGGUGUCAGUUCGAUUCUGACGGUGACGACCA